rnacentral:lncRNA from 1 species
AAAAGUUUAGUUUAGGGUUUUAAAACCCUAAUCCUGAUUAAAGGGAAAAGUUCAGUUUAGGGUUUAAAACCCUAAUGCUGACUAAAGGGAAGAGCUCAGUUUAGGGUUUAAAACCCUAAUCCUGAUUAAAGGGAAAAGUUCAGUUUAGGGUUUAAAACCCUAAUGCUGACUAAAGGGAAGAGUUCAGUUUAAGGUUUAAAACCCUAAUGCUGACUAAAUGGAAAGAGUUCAGUUUAAGGUUUAAAACCCUAAUGCUGACUAAAUGGAAAAGUUUAGUUUAGGGUUUAAAACCCUAAUCCUGAUUAAAGGGAAAAGUUCAGUUUAGGGUAUAAAACCCUAAUAUUGAUUAAAGGGAAAAGUUCAGUUUAGGGUUUAAAACCCUAAUGCUGACUAAAGGGAAGAGUUCAGUUUAAGG